rnacentral:lncRNA from 1 species
CCUCUUCCUCUACAGCUGUUCAUAUGUUUUCACAUUUUUAACUUCUUCCAGCCAUCUUACUCUACUGCUUGUCAUCCUUUUUAGCCCCUUUUCACCAUUUUAACCUCUUCCAGCCCUCUUUCUCCACAGCUUGUCACAGUUUUUCACCUCAAUAACCUCUUCCAGCCUCUUACUCUACAACUUUUCCUACCUUUUCACCUUCUUAACCUCUCCAAUCCCUUCUUACUCUACAACUUUUCACAUGUUUUCACCUUUUUAACCUCUUCCAGCCUCUUACUCUACUGCUUGUCAUCCUUUUUAGCCUUUUUUCACCGUUUUAACCUCUUCCAGCCCUCUUACUCUACAGCUUUUCAUCCAUCUUCACCUUUUUUAUGCUUUUUCGGCCCUCUUACUCUACAUCUUCUCAUCCUUUUUUUACCAUUUUAACCUCUUCCAGCCCUCUUACUGAACAGCUUUUCAUCAUUUUCUUACCUUUUGAGGCUCUUUCAGCCUUUAACUUUUCACCUUUUAGCCUUUUUUCAACAUUUUAACCUAUUCCAGCCCUCUUACUCUACAACUGUUCAUAUUUCUUCACCUUUUUAACCUCCUCCAGCCCUCUUCCUCUACAGCUUUUCAUCCCUUUCAUUCCUUUUUCACCUAUUUAAGCUCUUUCAUCCUAUAACUUUUCACCUUUUUAGCCUUCUUUCACCAUUUUAACAUUUUCCUGCCCUCUUAAUCUACAGCUUUUCACCUUUCUUUCAACAUUCUUAGAGUUUUAUGAAUUUUCGGCAGGUCGUUCGGCAGAUCUCGCUUCAGCCUGCAGCAUUCACACUGUAUUUUCGCAGGAAAUACAAAUUUUUCUAGUUGGAUUUAAUGUUUUGAAAUCAUGUUUUAACCUACCCAAAACUUCACCAUCUUAAAAGUCGAAUUUUUGCCUUCGUGAAAAGAUGCAACAUGAUAAUGAUCAUUUGUCAUUCAAAAGAAUUAUAACCUGAUUAAGACAUGAAGCCAUAAAGUAUACAACAUAUAACAAUAAAGUAUACAAUACACAGUAGAACCAAGGACUUAUACAUAUUCCUUGUAGUUCUAUCUU